UUUCAGAUAGCUCAGUCUGUAGAGCACGAGACUCUUUCAGGGUCGUGGGUUUGAGUCCCACAUUGGGCAAAA